rnacentral:rRNA from 1 species
GGGGAAUAUUGGACAAUGGGCGGAAGCCUGAUCCAGCAACGCCGCGUGAGGGAUGAAGGCCUUCGGGUUGUAAACCUCUUUCGCACAGGACGAAGCGCAAGUGACGGUACUGUGUAAAGAAGCACCGGCCAACUACGUGCCAGCAGCCGCGGUAAUACGUAGGGUGCGAGCGUUGUCCGGAAUUAUUGGGCGUAAAGGGCUCGUAGGCGGUUUGUCGCGUCGGGAGUGAAAACACUGGGCUUAACUCAGUGCCUGCUUCCGAUACGGGCAGACUAGAGGUAUGCAGGGGAGAACGGAAUUCCUGGUGUAGCGGUGAAAUGCGCAGAUAUCAGGAGGAACACCGGUGGCGAAGGCGGUUCUCUGGGCAUUACCUGACGCUGAGGAGCGAAAGUGUGGGGAGCGAAC